GAUGAACGCUGGCGGUGUGCCUAAUACAUGCAAGUCGAGCGAACGGAUGAGAAGUUUGCGUCUCUGAUGUGAGCGGCGGACGGGUGAGUAACACGUGGAUAACCUACCUAUAAUACUGGGAUAACUUCGGGAAACCGGAGCUAAUACCUGAUAAUAUUUUGAACCGUAUGGUUCAAAAGUGAAUGACGGUCUUGCUGUUACUUUUAGAUGGAUCGUCGCUGCAUUAGCUAGUUGGUAAGGUAACGGCUUACCAAGGCAACGAUGCAUAGCCGACCUGAGAGGGUGAUCGGCCGCACUGGUGCUGAGACACGGGCCAGACUCGUGCGGGAGGCAGAAGUAGGAAAAUUUCAGCAAGGGGCGGAAGCAUGACGUAGCAACGCCGCGAGAGUCAUGAGGGUCUACGGAUCGUAAAACUCUGUUAUUAGGGAAGAACAUAUGUGUAAGUAACUGUGCAGAUAUUGACGUUACCUAAUCAGAAAGCCCCGGCUAACUACGUG
rnacentral:rRNA from 1 species